GCGAAGGUGGCGGAAUUGGUAUACGCGCUACUUUGAGGUGGUAGUGAGGGUUUCCUCGUAGGGGUUCAAGUCCCCUCUUUCGCA
rfam:Parachlamydia-related symbiont TWE25, complete genome